AUUGAACGCUGGCGGCAGGCCUAACACAUGCAAGUCGAGCGAGCGGCGGACGGGUGAGUAAUGGCUGGGAAACUGCCUGAUGGAGGGGGAUAACUACUGGAAACGGUAGCUAAUACCGCAUACCAUCAGAUUUGCCCAGAUGGGAUUAGCUAGUAGGUGUGGUAACGGCUAACCUAGGCGACGAUCCCUAGCUGGUCUGAGCGGAUGACCAGCCACACUGGAACUGAGACAAGGUCCAGACUCCUACGGGAGGCAGCAGUGGGGAAUAUUGCACAAUGGGCGAAAGCCUGAUGCAGCAAUGCCGCGUGUGUGAAGAAGGCCUUCGGGUUGUAAAGCACUUUCGUCGGGGAGGCGGUACCCGCAGAAGAAGCACCGGCUAACUCCGUGCCAGCCGCCGCGGUAAUUC
rnacentral:rRNA from 1 species